CUCAAAGAUUAAGCCAUGCAAGUGGUUAUAAUAACCAGAAUGUUUAAAUUAGUGUUAUAUAAUAUAUAAUAUAUAUACUAAUGCAACUGCGAAUAGCUGUUUAAUACAGUCGUAAUUGUAUUGACUUAUAUAUGUAAAUAAUAAUAGUUAUUUAUUUGGAUAACUAAGGGAAAGUUUGGCUAAUACGUUUAAAAUAUAAUAAUACAUUAUGCACAUAAUAAUAAUAUUAAUAUAUGAUAAAUAUUAUGUAAAUAAGAGUAUUUUUUUUACUCUAAUAGAGCAGACUUUAUAAUAUUUUAAUUAUUAUAAAGCAUGUCAAACAAGCAUCUAUAGCAUCAAGUCACAAUGUUGGCAUGUGUAUUAUUGAACCUUCAAAGCAUUUACGCAUUCGGAGGAGUAGUUUCUGAUCCCGUCGAAGGUGCCUGAGAGACGGCACUUAGUUCUAAGGAACGCAGCAGGCGCGUAAAUUGCCCAAUGACAAAACAUGUUAUACUAAAACUCAAUAUAUAAUAUUUUUAUUGAGGCAGUGACAAGCUGUAAAGAUUGAAUAUAUUAAUUAAGAUAACAUUUGGAAUUGUCGUUUUAUAAUAUUUUUAAUAUUAUAUUACUUGAUAAUAUACCAAUGUUAUAAAAUAUUCAAUUUGAAUGCGGUGAAUCUAAUAAUUUCAAGUAACAUGUAUAAAAUGUAAUAAUUUUAUUAGUUAUCUGAAUUUUCAAGUGGAGGGCAAGUCUGGUGCCAGCAGCCGCGGUAAUACCAGCUCCACUAGCYUAUACAAUCAUUGUUGCGGUUAAGAGGCUCGUAGUUGGAUUGAAUACAUUUUUUAAUACAAUACUGUGAACAAACCAGAGUGUAUAAAACAUGUAAUAUAUUAUAUAUUUAGCAAUGAAUGUUUUAUCAUGGAAUAUUGCUUUUUAAUAUAAUAUCGAUGGAGAUAGUUGGAGUUAAGAGUACUGAUAGGCGAGCGGUGAAAUGCAUUGACCCUAUUAAGACUAACAAAAGCGAAAGCACUUAACUAGAUUAUUCUCUUUGUAUUAUUACAAUGAAGAGCGAAGGUUGGGGGAACAAAGAGGAUCAGAUACCCUCGUAGUCCUAUUUUUACAUCAAACUAUGGGAUUUCAAUUACUUGUUUCUCUAUAUUUAAUUAUUUAUUAUAAUAUAAUUGAGUACUUAAUUGUUUACUCUUAUAUUUAAUAUAUAUUAUUUUUAUAAUUGAUUAUAUGUACUUUGAGCUCAUAUAAUUAUAUAGGUGAGAUGUAAGCAUUAUAAGUGAGUAAUAUAUAAGUAAUAUUAUAUUAUUAUGAUCUUUAUAUAAAAAUGUAAUGUGAUGCACGUUUUAGGUACGAGCUUACUAUAGAAAUAUUUAAAAUAAUACCCUCCUGGGGUAGUAUGCACGCAAGUGUGAAACUUGAAGGAAUUGACGGAAGGGCACCACAAGAACGCGUGGAGCAUGUGGCUUAAUUUGACUCAACCCGGGAAAUCUUACCAGGUCCAGACAUAUUGAGGAUUGACAGGCGAUAGUAUAUAAAAUAUAUUUUUAUAUGCAUAAAAAUGAUAGUCCUUUCAUGAUUAUAUGAUAGGUGGUGCAUGGCCGUUCUUAGUUCGUGGAGUGAUUUGUCUGCUUAAUUGCGUUUCAGUAAAUAAAAUAUAUAAUAUAUUAUAAUAUUUAGUUCUGCCUUUUAAUGGAGGAUUUAAAGUGAACAUAUUAUAUAUAUUAUUAUAUAAUAAAUGAAUGCAACGAACGUGACCGUAGCCUUUUAUUGCUAUUAUUAUUUAAUUAUAGCAUAAAAUUAAAGGGACCGCUGUCAUUACUAAAUAUGUGUUAAAAUAGAGUAAGAUUACGGCAAUAACAGGUCUGUGAUGCCCUCAGAUGUUCUGGGCUGCACACGUGCUACAAUAAUUACAUUAAUAAGUAUCUAUAUACUUUAUAAUAUAUAAUAUUAUAUUAAUACAACCUAUUUCGAAAGUAAAUCGGUAAUCAUUUAAAAAUCGUGAUUAAUUAAUAUAAAUAUAAUUAAUUUAAGGUGGGGAUAGUGUAUUGUUAAUUAUUACACUUGGCCUUAACUAGGAAUGCCUUGUACUCUUCUUUGGUUUAACAUACCAAGAGGAAUACGUCCCUGCCCUUUGUACACACCGCCCGUCGCUCUUACCGAUGAAUUAUAUUAUAAAUCUAAGGGAUUUAUUCUAAUUAAAAUAUAAAAAACUUAUAUACAUAAUGUGAUUUAAAGGAAAGAGAAGUCGUAACAAGGCAUCAGUAGGUGAACCU
rnacentral:rRNA from 1 species